rnacentral:rRNA from 1 species
UGGGGAAUCUUGGACAAUGGGGGAAACCCUGAUCUAGCCAUGCCGCGUGAGUGACGAAGGCCUUAGGGUCGUAAAGCUCUUUCGCCAGGGAUGAUAAUGACAGUACCUGGUAAAGAAACCCCGGCUAACUCCGUGCCAGCAGCCGCGGUAAUACGGAGGGGGUUAGCGUUGUUCGGAAUUACUGGGCGUAAAGCGCACGUAGGCGGACUAUUAAGUCAGGGGUGAAAUCCCGGGGCUCAACCCCGGAACUGCCUUUGAUACUGAUAGCCUAGAGGAUGUGAGAGGAUAGUGGAAUUCCGAGUGUAGAGGUGAAAUUCGUAGAUAUUCGGAAGAACACCAGUGGCGAAGGCGACUGUCUGGCACAUUUCUGACGCUGAGGUGCGAAAGCGUGGGGAGCAAACAGGAUUAGAUACCCCCGUAGUCC